UCAGUCUAUCAAAUUUCAUUUUUCUUUCUUUCUUUCAUUCAAUGUCCUCACUCUCACACUUUCUCACUCUCUUUUUUGUUUCUUUUUAUUCCAUCUCUCUCAAUUGCCGAUACUAAAGCACCUUAGCAUUCUGAUAUCAGGGUUCUAGGGAAGAACUGUUUACAGGUGAAUUCCGAUUCGCAAUGGUGAAUAUCAAAGCUUUCAAGAGAUUUCGUUUUGUCCACACAUGGAAAAACCAGGAUCAUCUUCCUUUGGCAGUCCUAUAUACUCUCCUCAAAUGGAUGGACUGUCAAGUGUCAUUUGUGAGGUGUGACUGAUGUUUUCAUUGAUGUACAGAUGAUAGCAUGGCAAUCUUCAUGGCAUUCUAAAGUCCACAGCUAGAGGUUUUAGGCUUAACCACAAUAUUUGGUAAUGUUACUACAGAAGAUGCCACUCGCAAUGCAUUGCUUCUGGUAUGUGUUUAGUUUAUUCUAUUUUCCAACACAGUAAUUCAUGCUUUGUCAUAAUUUCAGGUCUUUCAUAUUUUUGGAACAUGUUCAUGACCAAUAACUAUUUUUAAUGUUCAAAAGGAUAGUGUGAGAUUGCUGGAUGUCCAGGUCUUCCUGUAUGUAGCAGAGGGUACCCCUGAGCCUUUGAAGGUAACUGCAUUUACAUAUAAUUUGUGGCUUAAUCAAUGAGUUGUCCUUUAUUCCUUCUACAUAAUUAGACUGUGCCAAAACUUUUUUUCCCUCCUUCUAAUAACAUGCUCAACGAGUUGGUGAAGUUUUAGUGAAAUAGGGAUAUCUGUAAACAAAUUUUUAUUUGGUUAUUACUGUGCUAACCAAGGUUUCUUUUUCCCAUUUUGUUCUUGAAAAAUAUUAUUUAUGCAUUCUAUUUUUUAGAUAAACUCAGAGAUUUCACAGCUGAACUUAAGCUUUCCCUUUUCCAACUUGGAAUCAAUCCUCAGAUUGCUGCAUCAAUUCUCAUGCAAGUCUGCUGUUCUUUUAUCCUCAAGUUUACAUUUCUUGUCCAUUAAUUAAGACAAUUAUGAUUGUCCUUAGAAAACCAUGUUCGAUCCAAAAACUGAACUUGCAGAGGAUUUACUUCUCAUUUGAUCUUUCAGGAGGAUUUACUAAUACUAGAUUAUUUAAUAUCACCAUUUUUUUCCCCUUGAGUUACAAUGAUUAUGCUACUGAUGAUGAUCAAUAUGAACAAAAAUUGAAGAAAGAGACUUGGGUAUUUUUCAUGUUGGCAACAUAAGAUAGAUUUGUAAAUUUUCUUAUCUGGAAAUGCACGACAUUUUUUUAACAAAUUGAACUUUGUGGAGGUGAGACAUUUAUUUAAUCUACAUUUGAGCUGGUCACUAUAGUUAUGGAGGUGGAGAGCCAACUGAUAAUGCUGCAAGAUUCUACAAAUGGUUUAUUGAGGAAAAUGAAAGGGGAGCCUGGCUUCAAUAGCUUACAUAUGGUGUCUUCAGUCUGCGUAACCGUCAAUAUGAACAUUUCAACAAGGUAAAUUCGUUAUAUAUUCAUAUCAAUCCAUUACUUCUCUUUCUGUGAUUCUUUCAUUCUUGUCUUUUUUGUCCAAUUUUUUUAUCUAUCACUGAGCAUAUUUUGGAAGAUCCGUAGCACACCAUAAUAUUGUUACUGAGCCAAAUAUACUCAAUGACUAGUCACUGGUAAUUGUAAAUGCAAUGUUUUAUAUUGGAACUUCUUUCUAAUUGCCUCAAUAAUUUUCAUGUGUAUGUUAAUCAAAUCAAGGACAUGACAUUGAAACUAAUAAAAGUGUAGUGUUGAGAGCUAUAUCAUUUCAUCCGUUUGGCUAUUAUGGAGUUUUAGUGUUUCAUUUGUCUUUGGAAUUUUAGGAUGAUGCAGUGAAGAACCUAGUGACUAAGUGUAGACGCGUCCCGAGGGUUUUUUGCUACUACAGUUCGGACUCAAAUGUCACGGUUCUUAAUCUGAUCUCGUAAAGUGUA